rnacentral:tRNA from 1 species
GCGCGUGUAGCUCAAUGGCAGAGCACCUCACUGAUAAUGAGGGGGUAGAAGGUCCGAUUCCUUCCACGCGCACCA